rnacentral:tRNA from 1 species
GCGAAUAGGGCUCAGUUGGAAGCGUGCGACCUCGCCAAGGUCGAGGCCGUCGGUUCGAACCCGACUAUCCGCU